rnacentral:rRNA from 1 species
GAAUCUGCCUAUUAGUGGGGGACAACAUUCCGAAAGGAAUGCUAAUACCGCAUACGCCCUACGGGGGAAAGCAGGGGAUCUUCGGACCUUGCGCUAAUAGAUGAGCCUAAGUCGGAUUAGCUAGUUGGUGGGGUAAAGGCCUACCAAGGCGACGAUCUGUAGCGGGUCUGAGAGGAUGAUCCGCCACACUGGGACUGAGACACGGCCCAGACUCCUACGGGAGGCAGCAGUGGGGAAUAUUGGACAAUGGGCGGAAGCCUGAUCCAGCCAUGCCGCGUGUGUGAAGAAGGCCUUUUGGUUGUAAAGCACUUUAAGCGAGGAGGAGGCUCCUUUAGUUAAUACCUAAAGUGAGUGGACGUUACUCGCAGAAUAAGCACCGGCUAACUCUGUGCCAGCAGCCGCGGUAAUACAGAGGGUGCGAGCGUUAAUCGGAUUUACUGGGCGUAAAAGCGUGCGUAGGCGGCUUUUUAAGUCGGAUGUGAAAUCCCUGAGCUUAACUUAAGAAAUUGCAUUCGAUACUGGGGA